AGUCCAACCCGGAAAGACACGUAAAAACGCCACUGGCAGCGGCCACUGGUAAGGGGUAUACAACUAAUCUGCGAAAAGCGCCGGCGAGGUGAUAUGAACCCUUGACCCGGCGAUGUCCGAAUGGGGAAACCCAGUGCAAUCCGUUGCACUAUCGUUAACUGAAUACAUAGGUUAACGAGGCGAACCGGGGGA
rnacentral:rRNA from 1 species